rnacentral:rRNA from 1 species
AUCCUGGCUCAGGAUGAACGCUGGCGGCGUGCCUAAUACAUGCAAGUCGAACGCACAGCAAAGGUGCUUGCACCUUUCAAGUGAGUGGCGAACGGGUGAGUAACACGUGGAUAACCUACCUCAAGGUUGGGGAUAACAUUUGGAAACAGAUGCUAAUACCGAAUAAACUUAGUAUCGCAUGAUACCAGGUUAAAAGGCGCUACGGCGUCACCUAGAGAUGGAUCCGCGGUGCAUUAGUUAGUUGGUGGGGUAAAGGCUUACCAAGACAAUGAUGCAUAGCCGAGUUGAGAGACUGAUCGGCCACAUUGGGACUGAGACACGGCCCAAACUCCUACGGGAGGCUGCAGUAGGGAAUCUUCCACAAUGGGCGAAAGCCUGAUGGAGCAACGCCGCGUGUGUGAUGAAGGCUUUCGGGUCGUAAAGCACUGUUGUAUGGGAAGAACAGCUAGAGUAGGGAAUGACUUUAGUUUGACGGUACCAUACCAGAAAGGGACGGCUAAAUACGUG